rnacentral:lncRNA from 1 species
AUGGAAGAAGAUUUCGGUUGGAGCUGCUUUGGCUUACAAAGAUCUGGAAACGCUUUGUCCCUGGAGUGGACUUCCAGCCAAAUGAGGAUCUCCAUAGGAAUGGAAGAAAUCACACGCUUUGCUCCAGGAUCCUGUGUUUGCCAGGUCACAUUGCUUUACUUUGGAUCUCUACCAUCUGAACAAGUGUCAGUCCAAAGGCCCGAGACCCACCGUGGUACAGCCGACUGCUACGCGUCGCCGGGGCAAUGUGUCCUCUUGCGUCUUUGCCAGAAAAUCAUGGCACAACUGUUGGCUAGACCAUGGUCAUUAAGAAAUUCUCAGUGUCAUCCUCCACGUGUCAGGCUGAAAACACCAAAACAAAGAAAGAGAAACCAAAAUGCAAGAACUGAAUUUUACCCUGCUCUCAUAUUUCAAAUGCAUUUCAAAGUUCGGUUCCAAAUCCUGUGAAG